rnacentral:lncRNA from 1 species
AGUCCUGUGGCGCAACUCCCCGAACACGGAAAAAAAAGGCGCAGUGGGGGUUCUGCUGUGUUUGCAAGUGAGGGUCGUGAGUGCAACGGGCGCAAGGCAUUAAGGCCAGUGUGUUAGUGCGCGGGCAGGCUCGCGUGGUGCUGGGGUUGCUGUGUGAGCGGCCCUCGUGGCUCGGGAGGUGCUGUGUUUGCGCAGGCGUGCGCCCCUGGCGUCGGGACUGGUGAGAGCCACGGCGGGCGCGCGCGCGUGCGUGAUGGUGGGGGCGGUGCAGGGAGGGGUUUGCUACUGCGCGCAGGUUGUUAUCUAUUUCUGUGUUAUAUUUGAAAAUGUUCUAAUGAAAAGGAAAAUAAAUAAUUAAGGAAAGGCGACAAUAACAGAUAAAGGGGCACUGUCAGAAAUAUUUUGGCUUUCCGUACUGAUUUAAUUACUUUAAAAAUACACUUCCUACGUUUUCCUCCGUGCCAAAAUCCUAUCGUAAACCACAGCCCUCCAAUGAUUCAGAGCCAAACCCUUCCAUCGCCGCAUUAGCAACUCCAAAGGGAGGCUUCUUUCAAGUUCUCUAGUAUCGUCCUCCCUCCCCUCCUCCACACCUACCCCCUCCCUUCAAGGUUGCGUGCAGUUCUCUUGGCACAAAUACAAUUUUCCUGUGAGAAUAUCUAUCUACGACAGCCUUCCCCUCCGUUAGGGACUCCGGAUUUCUGUGGCGACUGAGGCGCUCUUACCUUUGCGUCCUGAUCUCCAAGCAAGCACACUGACCUUCUUCAGGCAAAUACGCACUGUUAAUUUUCCAGAAAGUUCUCCUCAAAAUACAUUAGAAAUAUCUUGUUCCCUGCUUUGGCUAAUGUUGACUGGAGUGUCAAGAAGAGUGCAGGAAAGCAAACCAAGCUGUUGCAACCUCACCAGAACAGCUGAAGAAUGAAUUUCAGCCUGGACUCUACCUUAUUAGUUGGGCACCCUUGGGGAGGGUGCAACCUGCCCAACAUUUUCUGCUGGCCCUGUCUUACCUCAUGACUAAGAGAGCCUUCCUAGGUCUGGAAGGUAGCAGUCAGUCUGUUCUGGAGGGUGGAGAGAGACACCAGUGUUUUCCCAUGGUUUCUGGGUAGUAGAUAAAAUUGGUCUAUUCUAAGGUUAAUUUGAUAUUUUAAAAUUUUGAUUCUGACUAGCUUAUUGGAUUUUUUUGAAUAAUGUUUGAUUAAUGUAAAGGUUAAAAAUAAAACCUAAUAUUUCAGCUAAGCAAAUGGUAUUUCUUUAAUAAGGACGUAUUUCUAUCUAUUUAUACCUGCCUCAUUCCAUAGGAAUUUUAUAAAGCCAGUCCAGGAAUGUAGUCUGAAUCAAUCUAGUUUGCUAGCCUGUGAGACCAGGGCAAAGAUGAAAAUAGUCAUGGGAAAGUUUUAUCCUUUUAGGGGUAUCUGUCUUCUUCUAGUUCCUCUCUCCUCCUUUGACAAAUCCCCACCCCGAGACUGACCUACCCAUUUGACAGAAUGAGAUUACUUCUUCAAAUGACCCAAAACACUGAGAUCCUGAACCUAAUCAAUAAUGUCCUUGGAUGACCUUGGGAUGCCAGAUUCACACAUAAUUCCUUGUUGUCCCCUUCCUGAGUUAAUAGUUUAGCAUACAAUUUACCAAAAUUUGUAGUUUCCUGAGCCACAGACUUCACUUGGAAUGAUCAUAUAAAGUCAUCCAUGCUACAUACCAACCCACAGAAAUGAGGACCGCUUUCCUCCAGUGUAUGCUGAGUCCUACAAUCUGAGCACUGCUUCAAGAGGAUGCCUUGAGUCAUUUUUCCAGAGUUAAAUUUGCUUAUGCUUCUAACCUCCACCUACAGUCCCCGUUACACUGGGAAUGAUAAAAACUAUGCCUUUUGAAAAUAUAAGCUGUCAUGUUAUUAAAGAUGACAAACCAGUAGUAGUUAAAGUGCUGCAUCUAAAUUGUUGAAGCUUGUUACGUGGGAGUUCAUUAGACUGUUUUUCCUACUUUUGUGUAUUUUUGAAGUUUUCCAUAAUAAAACAUUUAAA